ACACAACCCAAUGCCUUUAUUUUUGUGUGGUGCUGAGAUCAAACCCGGGUCCCGCUCGUGCUAGGCGAUCUCUCUACUGCUGAGCCACAAAUCCCAGCCCCUUAACCUCAUUUAAAGGUACAAUGUACACAUGUAUCAAAACAUAAAGUGGCACCCCGUUAAUAUGUACAGUUUUAUGUUUUUAUGUGUCUGUUAAAAUCAAGGGCUCAGUGGUAGAGCACUUGUCUAGUAUGCAUGAGGGCCUGGGUUUGAUCUUCAGCAUCAAAAAGAAAUAAAUUUAAGAAAACCCCAAAGAACAGGCUUCCAGGAGCUCUGAACAGGGGAGCUCGUGGAGGCUUACUGGAAGACCACCAAGAACUGAUUACCCCAGCUCCACUGAAUGGAAGGUCCUGCAUUCAGGCCUCUUCCAGGCCGCACCCUGAGGAUAUCUUUUGGCUCUUUGUGUUCUUGAAAGUGUAGGUGUUCCCCUGAGUUCUGUGAGCUGUUUUGGCAAACAGCCUGAGGAGGGGCUGUGGGGAUGCACUUAGUCUCCUGUGUGUGAGGCCUGCCAGUACUGCAGGAGGCCUGCUUUGGUCCUUGCCUGCAGUGGGGGCCAACUUCCAAGACUGAACCCUCAACCUGAGGGUGCUGCCUCCGGGGAGGAGUUUUGGAGCUGAAUUAGAGUAGAGGACUGCUGUUUGCUGCUGCAGGAUGGCUUGCUUUCUGUGAGGAAAAAUUCCAUGCUUCUGGGGAUUGCAGAAGUCUGUGGUCUGUUGGUGGUG
rnacentral:lncRNA from 1 species